GAUGAACGCUGGCGGCGUGCUUAAUACAUGCAAGUCGAGCGAACAGACGCGGCUCUUGUUCCUCUCACGUUUGCCGCGCACGGGUGUGUCACAUGUGUAUCAUCUACCUAUCAGUCUGGGAUCUCCUCGGGACUCCGGAGCUAAUACCGGAUAAUCUAUUGAACCGUAUGGUUCAAUAGUGAAAGACGGUUUUGCUGUCACUUAUAGAUGGAUCCUGGCCGCAUUAGCUAGUUGGUAAGGUAACGGCUUAGCAAGGCAACGAUGCGUAGCCGACGUGUGAGAGUGAUCGGCCGCACUGGAGCGGAGACGGGGACAAGAGUCCUACGGUAGGGAGCAGAAGGGAACGUUCCGCAAUAGGCGAAAGCCUGGCGGAGCAACGCCGCGUGAGUGAUGAAGGUCUUCGGAGCGUGAAGCUCUGCUAUUAGGGAAGAACAAAUGUGUAAGUAACUAUGGACGUCGUGACGGUAACUGGUCAGAAAGCAACGGCUAACUACGUG
rnacentral:rRNA from 1 species